rnacentral:snRNA from 1 species
GUGCUCACUUUGGGAGCACAUAUACUAAAAUUGGAACGCUACAGAGAAGAUUAGCAUGGCCCCUGUGCACGGAUGACACACAAAUUGGUGAAGUGUUCAUAUUUAAA